CCUACGUGCGGCUUCAGUGGGGGAUAUUGCACAAUGGGGGAAACCCUGAUGCAGCGACGCCGCGUGUGGGAAGACGGUCCUCUGGAUUGUAAACCACUGUCCCCAGGGACGAAGAUGACGGUACCUGGGGAGGAAGCUCCGGCUAACUACGUGCCAGCAGCCGCGGUAAUACGUAGGGAGCGAGCGUUGUCCGGAAUUACUGGGUGUAAAGGGAGCGUAGGCGGGGAUGCAAGUUGGGUGUCAAAACUACCGGCUCAACUGGUAGUCGCACUCAAAACUGCAGCUCUUGAGUGAAGUAGAGGCAGGCGGAAUUCCUAGUGUAGCGGUGAAAUGCGUAGAUAUUAGGAGGAACACCAGUGGCGAAGGCGGCCUGCUGGGCUUUUACUGACGCUGAGGCUCGAAAGCGUGGGGAUCGAACAGGAUUAGAUACCCCAGUAGUC
rnacentral:rRNA from 1 species